rnacentral:rRNA from 1 species
GACGAACCGUCCAAACGUUAUUCGGAAUCACUGGGCUUAAAGGGCGCGUAGGCGGGCGAGCAAGUCUGUGGUGAAAUACCCCGGCUUAACCGGGGAACUGCCGUGGAUACUGCUUGUCUCGAGGAGGGUAGGGGCAUCUGGAACAGCCGGUGGAGCGGUGAAAUGCGUUGAUAUCGGCUGGAACUCCGGUGGCGAAGGCGAGAUGCUGGACCCUUUCUGACGCUGAGGCGCGAAAGCCAGGGGAGCGAACGGG